rnacentral:rRNA from 1 species
AAGAAACCCAUACCUAAAGCAAGUUUCCCCCCGCUCCCCGAAGCAAUAUCAAACCAACAGUACCGCCUAUCACCCAAGAACAGGAC